UGACGAGUUUGAUCCUGGCUCAGGAUGAACGCUAGCGGCAGGCCUAAUACAUGCAAGUCGAACUGUGAUAGCAAUAUCAUAGUGGCGCACGGGUGCGUAACACGUAUGCAACCUACCUAUUAUUGGGGGAUAGCCUUUGGAAACGGAGAUUAAUACCGCAUAAUACGAUUGACUGGCAUCGGUUGAUUGUUAAAGCUUUGGCGAUAAUAGAUGGGCAUGCGUCCAAUUAGCUAGUUGGUGAGGUAACGGCUC
rnacentral:rRNA from 1 species